AGUUUAGGCCCAGACACGGCCAGUGACGUCAGACUGAACAACCGGAUAGAGCGGGAAAGGGUGACAUCGUUCGUGGGCGGAGUCUGUGCAGCAGAGAUGUCACGUAGGAUCUCCUCUGCCCCGCCCACAUGUGGCACAGAUGUGCUGAGACAAGGUGUGUACCUGUCCAUGCAGUCUGCCUUUGAAAACCACAGCAGCUCAGCCAGGAAGUGUUAGAGCUGGUGAACUUACAGGGCAGGGUCACAGAGAGCUGAGGUUCACGCCCCCUCCUGUCUUUAACAUCAGCACAAAGUAAACUGCAGAGGAGCUUCGUGUCAUUAGCGUGAGAGAUAACAGCGUGUUUAAGGCAGAGGAUUCAUCAGCCGUCCCCCAUUCACGUGUUUAACAGGAGCGAUGGCAAAAACAACAUUUCCCAGAAGUCCUCGCUCCAUCUGUCUCCUGCUCCAUGCAGCAGGAGUUAAGCAGGAAAAAUAUUCAUGCAAGGAGAGAAAGCAGCUCGUGGUUUUGUCUGUUACCCUCGAGGCCGUCUGCUGGCAUGCUGUCUGCGACUGACGCCUUCAG